AGAAUUGAUGAUGUAAGAGGGAGAGAGGGAUGAACUGCAGGAGCUGUGUUUUUGAGCAGGAGAGAGAGGGUGGGCUCUUGUGCACAAGGAAAGGUCUUGCUUUGGAGAGGAGCCUGGCUGCUUACCAAUAGCGACAAGAAGGAAGGCUGAGCAAACGGAAAGCAUCAUUCUGUGUCAAGCGUGGAAUGAGACGUCAUUUUUAAUGGCUGCAGCAUAUUGUGUUGUAGAGUUUUCAUGAUUUAUUUAACCAGCCCUCUCCUGAUGACCAAGUUCCAGGAAGGUGAAGUUAUCUGGCCAGGAGAUCCAGAGUCACACCUCGAGUGGACUGCGUGGGGCUGCAUUCAGCGAGUGCACUAGUUCAACUCUAAGCCUCAAUUUUGGAAAAUGGAGUCAUAAUACCUAUCUCAUAGGAUUGUCUGAAGUCCAUGGAGUAUGCUGCGCAGUAGUAAUAGUGCUCGUUGGGAUGGCAUAGGAAUAGCAGGAGAAGAGCAGAAGAUUGCAGCGCUAAUGGUCGUUCUUGAAGUAGAGGUGGUGUGAUUUUGCGGCCUUGUGGCUGUUGUCAAUGUUGCAGUUGCUGCUGACAUCGUUGCGACAACAGUAGCUGCUGUGGUGGUAGAAUUUGGGCAGAACUCAGGCUAGAUUCCCUACUGAGGACUUCUUUCAUUUUACCUAUCUUACUAAAGUUCCCAAUUCGUUACUUUGUGCCCCAAGAAAAGGCAGAAUUCUGUCUGAGAUACAUACCCAUGUGUGCUUCUAUGAGGAUAUUAAUCCUCAUUUUUUCCUCUGAUACAGAAGAGCACAAAGUGACACCUACUUGUAGUUCAAUCACAACCUCUGUUGUCAGUUGCCCCUGACCCCAGGGAAACCCAAAUGUUUGUUUGGAGCUAUAGGAGUGGCCAUGUUUAAAGAAUGAAGUAAAAAUGAUGUUUCUGACACUAAUCUUUUUGAUUUGCUUUCUUGACAAAGUGAGUUUCUUU
rnacentral:lncRNA from 1 species